rnacentral:lncRNA from 13 species
UGAUGACAGCUCUGCUAAAAUGGAGAGAAACUCAACCACGCUUUUACGAGCUCUAGGCCCAUACACUAAAUAGGGAAUAGGGUGCCAUUCAAUGAUCUAUUUAAUACUUUGUUAGAGUGACCGGGAAAAAGUAAGUGCUCAUUUAUAAUCCCAGUUGGAUAUGAAAAGAAAGUCUACAAAUUAGGUGGGAAAUAUUUGAGAGACUUUGAUAUCUCUUUUCAUGUUCUGAGUGAGUUGUUGAUAUGCUCCAAUGUACACACACCGCUAGACUGCUCGAUGGCAGCUGCUGUUUGGUGAACACGUCUGGGAUGUUCAUGAGCCUGAGGGUGAGUCCCAAAUAUGGCAACCUAUUCCCUACAAAGUGCGCUACUUUUGAACCGAGCCCUAUGGGGACGCAGCAUGCCAUUUGGGACUCAAUCUUUUUGUCUUUUCUUAUUUCAUUUUACCAGCUGUUUAUAUUCUCCAUGGUACAGUAGGGAUUUUUGUUUCAUUUCUGAGAAAAGUGUGUGCGAGAGAGACUGAGAGAGCGAGAGAGAGAGGGAGAGAGAGAGCGAGCGAGCGAGAGAGAGAGACAGAGUGAAAGAGAGAGAGAGUGAAAGGGGGAAUUCAUCUGUGCAUGUCUGUUUGUAAGAGUGGUGUGAUACAGGUCCUUGUGGGACCGACAAUGGGAGACGGGGGAGGGAGGAAUGAAUGGAUAGAUUUACACAUAUCCUCUCCUUCGCCCAUGCAUGAUAAACCAGGAGAUCAUUCUGCAGACUAAGGCUAGAUGUACUGAGGUCUGAAGUGACUGACUGGGGACAAUAUCUCAUACAGCUCUGUCUGCUGGUCCUCUGGGGGAAUAUACAGCUUCUAGGGACUGUCUAAAGGAAACACUGGCAAUGGAUGCUUUUGGGAAAGUCUCACCUGANNNNNNNNNNNNNNNNNNNNNNNNNNNNNNNNNNNNNNNNNNNNNNNNNNNNNNNNNNNNNNNNNNNNNNNNNNNNNNUUUAACCAGUUCAGUACCACCUUUAACCAGUUCAGUAUCACCUUUAACCAGUUCAGUAUCACCUUUAACCAGUUCAGUACCACCUUUAACCAGUUCAGUAUCACCUUUAACCAGUUCAGUACCACCUUUAACCAGUUCAGUACCACCUUUAACCAGUUCAGUACCACCUUUAACCAGUUCAGUACCACAGUCGUUGGCUGUUACAUAACCUGGUCAGCAUCAACCUUGUUACCUGGCUGUUCCCUUGUCUUCACCUGGGCAAUAUUCACAUUUGCUGCUCCCCACAAUGUUCCCACUACCCCCAAAUCCAUUCGCUGAUAAAUGCUGACUUGGGGAUCAGUUGUCAGUCCCAAAUGGCACCCUAUUCCCUAUAUAGUGCACUAGGGCCUUGGUCAAAAGUAGUGCACUAUGUAGGGAAUAGGGUGUGUGAAGCAUUAAUGGAAAGUCUUCCCAUUUUCCUGCUCCACUUGACACCGUGUUUUAUUUGUUCACGUAAAUGGGAUGUAUCCCAAAAUACAGCUGUACUACAAUCCUUACAUAGUGCCCUACUUAUGGGCCCUUGUCAAAAGUAGUGCACUAUGUAGAGAACAAGGGUACUAUUUAAAGUGUAGUGAAUGUAUAAUAAUAAUGAUAUGAAUGUUAAUUUAUUAAUCAUGUACAUGGUAAUUUAUGGAAUGUGAUGCUAUUUCCAGCUAUUAAACUUUGUUUUAACACAAUGUUUCAUCUGUAGAGUUUUAGAUAUGCCUACACUGCUAGAAGACUACUGUG